rnacentral:rRNA from 1 species
UACGUAGGGUGCAAGCGUUAAUCGGAAUUACUGGGCGUAAAGCGUGCGCAGGCGGUUUUGUAAGUCAGAUGUGAAAUCCCCGGGCUUAGCCUGGGAACUGCGUUUGAAACUACAAGGCUAGAGUGUGGCAGAGGGGGGUGGAAUUCCACGUGUAGCAGUGAAAUGCGUAGAGAUGUGGAGGAACACCGAUGGCGAAGGCAGCCCCCUGGGUUAACACUGACGCUCAGGCACGAAAGCGUGGGGAGCAAACAGG